AGCUUUCUAAGGAGGCGGAACUGGACAGAGCUCCUGGACCAGGCAAAUAGGAGCAAAGUUUUCGAGGCAUUUAUGGAGACGCCCCAGCCACAGAGCCCACAGAAGAUCAGAGACACUGGACUCACACCACGGAGGGUCGAAACUCUUCUGCUGUGAAUCCUACACAAAGAACAGAAGAGGAAGGGAAAACCUGAAGGUGGUGUGGGUCUCCCGGAGCUAAUUUUUUCCGGACUUGAGAUGCCUCAGGUCGCUGCAACUAAGGGCGGAGUAACCGGGGUGAGACCGCCAGCCGGGAGGACUAGAGAAGGGGUGUCCCCGCGGCCCUGGCGCCCCUCGACCGGCCGUCCGCCCCUGCUGUGACCCCACGCUUUCUCGGAGCCGGAUUCAUGUAUAUCUGUGGUUGCUUUGAGCGUCUCCAGGCCAGCGGCUCGUACAGCCAAGCGUGCAUAAGAAUAGGAGGGAUACGUAGCGUGGGCCUAGAGAACGGCUUCGUGGCUAAGAAGAGUAUGCACUGCUCUUCUAGGGGACUUGAGGUUUAUUUCCAGCAACAACAUCAAGCUUCUCCCUGCUGUCUGUAACUCCUUUCUGAAGCCUCUCAACUCAUAGAUACAUGUACAAACCCGCACAGGUCGUGAACACUAUUAAAAUUAAACAUAUUUU
ensembl:antisense